GGUUCUUUUACUUAAGGGUAAAGUGCAUUUUUGAUAAGAAUGAUAUUCAAGUUCAAGUCUUGGAAGAAUCA
rnacentral:tRNA from 1 species